rnacentral:rRNA from 1 species
CGCGGUGAAUACGUUCCCGGGCCUUGUACACACCGCCCCGUCAAGCCACGGAAGCCGAGGGCGCCUGAAGUCGGGGGAUUAAAUCCCUGCCGAGGGCGAAAUGGGUAACUGGGGCU